rnacentral:rRNA from 1 species
UACGUAGGGUGCGAGCGUUAAUCGGAGUUACUGGGCGUAAAGCGUGCGCAGGCGGUUCGUUGUGUCGGCGGUGAAAGCCCCGGGCUCAACCUGGGAAUGGCCGUUGAAACUGGCGAACUGGAGUGUGGCAGAGGGGGGUGGAAUUCCGCGUGUAGCAGUGAAAUGCGUAGAGAUGCGGAGGAACACCGAUGGCGAAGGCAGCCCCCUGGGCUGACACUGACGCUCAGGCACGAAAGCGUGGGGAGCAAACAGG